rnacentral:ncRNA from 2 species
ACUUCAUAGGUGCAUAUUGGUUCAGCCUCGGGUUCGGGGCUGAUUAAAAGGGAAUCAGGUGUGAAUCCUGAGCGGUCCGGCCACUGUAAGUGAUGAGCGAUCUUUGUGAAAUGCCACUGGAUGUAAGAGUCCGGGAAGGCGGAAGGGAGCGAUGAAUCAUGAGUCAGGAGACCUGCCUGUAUGUGUAAUGGUGG